GCAAUGAAGAGUUUGAUUCUCAAAUAUAAUUGCUGUUAUAGUUUCCACUUGGAAGAAAGAUUCACAUCAAAUUGACUGGUCAAGGAAAUGGGACACUGACUUAAUUGCAUGACAGUUGAAUGGUUCGUUGAGAGUGAGGAACCUAUGGACUCUCACACACCAGGAUGGAAUUUAGUUCGAAGAGUGACUUCAAAAUAGUUGCUUGCUUUUAAAAUCUUGACCGUUUUUGCUGUCCAGUUGAAUGAAUUUAGCUUCAUACUGCUUCAAUAGGAAUUAGUGAUUAAUAGGAACAUAUUUGUGAAACUUACAGUUCCGUAAGUUUUAGUGGAAACUGGUGGAGACUUUCGGUGCUUGCAAAAAGGCUCACUUCUCCGUUGAUACCAAGGGAAAAUUGGAGUUUGAAAAACCAUACGAUGAGACUGUUUUGAUGAGGAAUUUAAAGAUUACGAGUCCCAUCCGUUUGACCCACAGUUUGGUCUCGUAGGUUGGUACGAUCUUCGUUCGAGAAGGAAAAGGGAUGUUCCAGAUACAGAAAAUCGUCAAACCAUUUACUACAAUGUGCGUUUCUGGGUGGAGUUAGUGGAACCGAAAAAGAUGUCUCCCUCACAGCGUUUGUGACAAAAGAAUUGCAUCGUUCCUUGGCGGCCUUUCAACAGAAGAAUAUUCAGAGAUUUCCCAAGUGGACACAAUCAUCGCCUUGGAAGCUUCAUCACGAUACUACUUUGCAUUUCUGAAGAGGGAAGAAGAAAUCAAUAUGCAAAUUCAAUUCCAUGGUUUUGGAAGUCCCAUUGAGAACACGAUUCAUUUGCGCCGGCAUAAUGCUCUGACCGAGAAAGAAUUGAAGCUUCCGCUUGCAAGAAAGAUUCACAUCAAAUUGACUGGUCACGGAAAUGGGACACUGACU